rnacentral:ncRNA from 1 species
UGAAAGUUUUGGUCCUAGACUUUCCGUUAUUUAUGACUAAGGUUACACAUGCAAGCAUCCACACUCCAGUGAGUCCGCCCAAUCACUAUAGGAGCAGGCAUCAGGCACAAUCUUACCAGCCCAUAACGCCAAGGAAAUCCCACACCCCCACGGGUAUACAGCAGUGAUCAACAUUCGGCCAUAAGCCCACGCUCGACCAAAUUAUAGUCUAAUGGGCCGGCAAACUUCGUGCCAGCCGCCGCGGUUAUACGAAGCUGGCCCAAAAUAACAAACAACGGCACAAAGCGUGAACACUAGGCUCUAACACAUUAAGCACCAACUAAGGCCUGUACGUAAAACAAAAGCCUUACGGAAAACCAACACCUCAGCUUAAACCACAGAAAUCGAAAAUUCACGAAAGCUGAGAAACAAACUAGGAUUAGAUACCCUACUAUGCCAAGCUGUAAACACUGACACACUCUUUCUUUGUCCGCCAGAGAAUAACGAGCCAAAGCUUAAAACCCAAAGGACUUGGCGGCGCUUCACACACCCUAGAGGGGCCUGUCACAUAAUCGAUAACCCACGAUAAACCUCACCACUUUUAGCCCAUUAGCCUAUAUACCGCCGUCGCCAGCCCAUCCCGAUAGGAAAGAAAAAUGGACCCAAUAGUCUCUACACUAGCACGACAGGUCAAGGUGUAGCUUAUAAAGUGGCAAAUGAUGGACCACAUUGCUUUUUCCAGCCAUACUCGAACUGCCCUGAAACACGCACUUUAAAGGUGAAUUUAACAGUAAGUUGGGCAAGAAAACCCACCUAAAGAAUGCUCUGAAGCGUGCACACACCGCCCGUCACCCUACUUCAUUAAACACACUACAAACAUAUAGCCACAACAAAAAACAAGAGUAGGGAAGUCGUAACAAGGUAAGCGUACCGGAAGGUGCGCUUGGACGA